UACGAAGGGGGCUAGCGUUGCUCGGAAUCACUGGGCGUAAAGGGUGCGUAGGCGGGUUUUUAAGUCAGGGGUGAAAUCCUGGAGCUCAACUCCAGAACUGCCUUUGAUACUGAGAAGCUUGAGUCCGGGAGAGGUGAGUGGAACUGCGAGUGUAGAGGUGAAAUUCGUAGAUAUUCGCAAGAACACCAGUGGCGAAGGCGGCUCACUGGCCCGGUACUGACGCUGAGGUGCGAAAGCGUGGGGAGCAAACAGGG
rnacentral:rRNA from 1 species